GAACUUAAGCAUAUCAAUAAGCGGAGGAAAAGAAACCAACAGGGGUUGCCUCAGUAACGGCGAGUGAAGCGGCAACAGCUCAAAUUUGAAAUCUGGCCGCAAGGUCCGAGUUGUAAUUUGUAGAGGAUGCUUUUGGCGAGGUGCCUUCCGAGUUCCCUGGAACGGGACGCCAUAGAGGGUGAGAGCCCCGUACGGUAGGACCACCAAGCCUCUGUAAAGCUCCUUCGACGAGUCGAGUAGUUUGGGAAUGCUGCUCUAAAUGGGAGGUGUACGUCUUCUAAAGCUAAAUACCGGCCAGAGACCGAUAGCGCACAAGUAGAGUGAUCGAAAGAUGAAAAGCACUUUGAAAAGAGGGUUAAAAAGUACGUGAAAUUGUUGAAAGGGAAGCAUUCAUGACCAGACUUGGGCUUGGUUGAACAUCCGGCGUUCUCGCCGGUGCACUCUGCCAGUCCAGGCCAGCAUCAGUUUGCCCCGGGGGAUAAAGGCGGCGGGAAUGUGGCUCCCUUCGGGGAGUGUUAUAGCCCGUCGUGUAAUGCCCUGGGGCGGACUGAGGAACGCGCUUCGGCACGGAUGCUGGCGUAAUGGUCAUCAAUGACCCGUCUUGAAACACGGACCAAGGAGUCGUCUUCGUAUGCGAGUGUUCGGGUGUCAAACCCCUACGCGUAAUGAAAGUGAACGUAGGUGAGAGCUUCGGCGCAUCACCGACCGAUCCUGAUGUUCUCGGAUGGAUUUGAGUAAGAGCAUACGGGGCCGGACCCGAAA
rnacentral:rRNA from 1 species